rnacentral:rRNA from 1 species
UGGCGGACGGGUGAGUAAUGUCUGGGAAACUGCCUGAUGGAGGGGGAUAACUACUGGAAACGGUAGCUAAUACCGCAUAACGUCGCAAGACCAAAGAGGGGGACCUUAGGGCCUCUUGCCAUCGGAUGUGCCCAGAUGGGGUUAGCUAGUAGGUGGGGUAAUGGCUCACCUAGGCGACGAUCCCUAGCUGGUCUGAGAGGAUGACCAGCCACACUGGAACUGAGACACGGUCCAG